rnacentral:tRNA from 1 species
GCCUGGGUGGCUCAGUCGGUUGAGCAUCCAACUUCAACUCAGGUCAUGAUCUCAUGGUCUGUGGGUUCGAGCCCCGCGUCAGGCU